UUUAUGGAGAGUUUGAUCCUGGCUCAGGAUGAACGCUGGCGGCGUGCCUAAUACAUGCAAGUCGAGCGAACGGACGAGAAGCUUGCUUCUCUGAUGUUAGCGGCGGACGGGUGAGUAACACGUGGAUAACCUACCUAUAAGACUGGGAUAACUUCGGGAAACCGGAGCUAAUACCGGAUAAUAUUUUGAACCGCAUGGUUCAAAAGUGAAAGACGGUCUUGCUGUCACUUAUAGAUGGAUCCGCGCUGCAUUAGCUAGUUGGUAAGGUAACGGCUUACCAAGGCAACGAUGCAUAGCCGACCUGAGAGGGUGAUCGGCCACACUGGAACUGAGACACGGUCCAGACUCCUACGGGAGGCAGCAGUAGGGAAUCUUCCGCAAUGGGCGAAAG
rnacentral:rRNA from 1 species